CGGAGGGCUAGCGUUGUUCGGAAUUACUGGGCGUAAAGCGCACGUAGGCGGCUUUGUAAGUCAGAGGUGAAAGCCUGGAGCUCAACUCCAGAACUGCCUUUGAGACUGCAUCGCUUGAAUCCAGGAGAGGUGAGUGGAAUUCCGAGUGUAGAGGUGAAAUUCGUAGAUAUUCGGAAGAACACCAGUGGCGAAGGCGGCUCACUGGACUGGUAUUGACGCUGAGGUGCGAAAGCGUGGGAGCAAACAGGAUU
rnacentral:rRNA from 1 species